CGUUUCACACUGCGUUUUUAUUCUUCUCCUCACUGGGCACAUGCGCAUUGCGUGUUCAUACUUCUUUUUCCGGUUCCUACUCAAAACUGUUUACAAAUCAUAACCAUCAACAGUGCGGAAGCCUGCGUCAUCAUCGUUCAACGUCCGUUUUCUAUGCUGGCAUGGGUUGGACUGUUUGAUAUGGAUCUGGUAGAAUCCAAUCAUGCGUGUGUGUGUGUGUGUUGAUUUGCUUACGUCCCCGUCAAUUUGCAGUUCGGCAAAACAGACUGAUAAAAUAUGCAUCAAAGUUGAAGAAGUGUGUACAGGAUUCGAUAUAUUCUACUAAUACCUUCGAACACGUCAGAUAAAAUAGUGUGUAGCCUAUCAAAAACACUGAACUGUCACGACUGGAAAAUCUUUGCACAAAAAUCGAUCUUGGCCAAAGCGAUAACUAAAACAAAGGGAAGAUAAGUCGUGUUGUUACUUUGUAUAACUUUGUGAGAGAUAUAACAUAGUGACCUCCCUUGCACUGCUAAAGCAUACGAAUGCCUAUUUCCCUUGUAAUUGCGGCGAGUUACUUGAAAGAGUAUUUAAUAUUAAAAGGGAGAACGAGAAACUGAUGGGAAUUUAUUUAUUUGCUUGUUUGUUUAUUUCUCCAUUUACUUUUGUAUUUAUUUUAUACUAUUAUUGAUGGACUCAGAAUGACUAACUCAAAGCAUAGAAUUUUAUUACUAAAAUCCCCUUUUUUUUCUUUCAGAUUUCUCGUUAGCGACUAUACGAAAGAUAUGAUCACACACAUACAUACAUUAUGCCGUAUGUGUGUGUGUGUGUGUGUAAUUCAAACCGUUUGAUUCGGAUUCCGUGCUACUUCUAGUUUCGAAGCCCGUAACAGAGUCUAUCUCCUCAACCUUGUAUGAGGAGACAGUCUCUGUUUGGGACUUCGAAGCUUGAAGAAGCACGGAAUCCGAAUCAAACGGUUUCGAAUAAUACAUGUAACUCCCAAUAAAUGUGUUGAGAGCCCUUUCUUUCGUUUGUCCACUCACUCACACACACACACACACAUACAUAUAUAUAUAUAUAUUAUCCGUAGAUUAUAUAUCCGAAAAAGAAGCAAAAUCUAUGAAUAUAUUUAUAGGAAGUUAAUUAUAUGGCCAGUCAUAGAAAGCACACACACAAACACACACAAGCGGAAGUCAAAAAUUAUUUGCACUUCCGCCAAAACUUUCUGCAAAGUUGUCCGCAUUGCCUUCAGACGUUCGCAUGUUGAAGGGUGGAACUCACGUGGUUACGUAACUGACGCUUGACCUACAUCGCUCCAGUUUUCAUUUUCGUAUUACAAAGUAAGCAAGGCCGCUCCUCUCGCAAUAUGCACCAAGGAAGAACAGAGGAUGAGUGGUUCGAUUUCUUUGGUCUGAAGGUGUGUCCGAGGCUGGAAUUUAUAGAAUGGCUUUCAAUACAAUACGCGAGAAGCGUUCUAUUGCAUUGUGGUGUGUAUUAGUGGCUCGCGAAGUUUUAAAAUGGGCAGACAAGCGUGAAGCACAGAAACACAAUUUGUGAUUUGAAGAAAAUUUAGCUGCUAUUUCUAGCAACUAUAACACAAUGCGAUAACAAAAAUAGCCUUCCUGACUUGCUACAGUUUCUUUCGUUUGUUCUCGGCAUUUGUCCUUAGAAGUUUUCGGGAGUCAACUGUCAUACUCCGUUGAACUUCGAGAAGCCCUCUUCUUUUCCUCAACAUCUUCGGUGAAAUUUAGUUCAACACAGAUAAACUUAUUGCUUUCUUUGUUCUCUCGAUGAACUUGGAAGAGGUCAUGAUCAGGGUGGCCAGGUUUACCCGGAAGUGGACAGAAAGAAAGCUAUCUCCGAAAGGCCGGACCGAAGUAGCGAAUGCAUGCAUCGCCGUCAUACCUUGUCCCAAGAAAACACUGACCAGACUGGAGCGCUCGCUUUUACGAUUAUUAUGGAUCAGGUUCCGCUGGUCGGAAAAUCCAUCGGCUGUCAACAUCCACUCUGUGGCGAUCUUGGGGUGCCAUCCUUGUUAGUGUGGCUCCACGCGUUGAGGCUGGCGCACCUCCAGAAAUAUCGAAAUCACUGCGAUUGUGCGAACGACCGUCUGAGAGGUCUGAGACCAAGCCCUCGUCUAUUUCUUCAAAUAUCAUUUGAAGAGGACGGUGAGGGUAGAGAGGGAAGUGCUGCCUUCUGGUGUGUUUAUUAAAAGGUGGACGAGAGUGGCAAGACUGGUGACACUGAACGGAUCAACUCUGAGUUUGCUUUUCUAAAUAGGAAGAAAGAAACUGGAAGCUGACACUUCCCAUGCCUUGGGGAUGGCAGCGAAAGUGGACUGCCCCACUAUUGGGGGAUUCUAUUUAUUUGUUUGUUUGUGUGUUUAUCUAUAUAUGUAUUUAUUCAUUUAUUAUUUCUCUAGCUUCUAUUCAUAUAUCCUAUGUUAUAAUCCUUUGAUCAAUGUAAACCACCUGUUUUUUGUGUGUUGCAUCUCGUCCUUUGAUAUUGUCCUCCAUGUUUUGGGCCCUAGUGGCCAAUAAAAGAAAGCACCACCAUCAAAACAAAACAUGUACCUAUCACUUCCAAUCAGUUCAGAUCAGAAGCCAUGAGAGCCAAUAUAUUAUUAUUAUUAUUAUUAUUAUUAUUAUUAUUAUUAUUUUGCACAGCGCUUUGGGAAAGUGCCUUCUACUACAGCCUGGACUGACCAAUGGCUUGUGAGUGAAUCUGGAAGACGGAAACUGCGUGGACGUGUGUGUGUGCGCACGGGCGUAUUUCUUUGUGUCUGUCGCCCCGGUGUUGCUUUGUUUACGUCCCCGUAGCUUAGCGAUUCAGCAAAAGAGAGUGAUAAAGUACUACACUUAAAAAAUAAGUACUGAGUCUACUUGCCGGACUAAACCUUUAUAGGUGGUGCCCCAGCAUGGCCGCAGUCUAAUGACUGAAACGGGUAAAAGAUAAAAGGUACACACACACACACACACAACGUGCUCUUUUGAAUCAUAAAGAUUUUUCUUUUACAGAACAAGUUCAAAUAUGUUGCCAUUGUUUAGAUUUAGGUCAGCGCUAACCUAGUAGACCAGUGAUCAAAGAUAUUCCAACCGUGACCACCUGGUUCACCUAUAAAUAACUACGAACAACAGGACUAUAUUCCUCCGAUAUUUCCCAUUCCGCAUUCCAGACGACAGAGUGUAACUUGAGGGAGAUCUGGCUACUACUUCUAGCAGGUUGAACCACAGUCUGCCAGAGGCUGCUUCGUUGGCUCCUAUUGAAAACAUAAAAAAGGAUUAGUGUAGGUAAUUAUAAAUUAUAAUCCUUAAUUACAAUCCGGACGGCGAACUGACACAAUCGCUAGUGUCGAACAAGACGCUUAGAUAGUAUUUUUUUUUCUGCCCCUUUACGUUUUGGUUUCAAAUCACACCGAGAUCACCUUUGCCUUUCAUCUCAAAGGGGUCAAUAAAAUAAAGUACCAGUUAUGUACUGGGUCGAUGUAAUCGACUCACCCACCACCUCCAAAUUUGCUGGCAUUGUUCCUAAAUUAGAAGCCAUUAUAUAAGUCAGCCGUCUGCUAUGCGUUUUACUCAUUUCCGAAGAAUUCCGAACAUCGAGUUUUAGACAGCGAGAAUCAUGUUGUGUUUUUAGGCCCCUAAUCCGCUCUGAUUACAGCGAAGUUCCAUAAUGAAAGACAAACCCAUGGCGUGGACAUCCCGUCCUUUUGUGAAUUCAAUCUCUCUUUCCUUUUGUUAUAUUCUUUUUAGGACGAUAGGAUGUGAUUUGAGGGAUAUUUGACUACUAUUUCUAACAGAUCGAGCAACCGCGUAGAGGCUCCCCAGUUGGUUCGUAAAUUAAUAUAUUAAAUUUUAGCUGUCGGCUUCGUCCAAGAUCAUCAUAGCCCUCCCUCACUUGUAAUUCAGAAUUCAAGGGCAGGACAAAUGAACGAUAAGAAGAAAUAGCAUGGACUGUUGUCUGUUUUUGUUUUUGUUUUUAUCUUGUCUGUCUUUUGUCCGAUAGUUUAAAGUCUUGCGAUCGAAUCCGACUUGUACUUGUCCAUGAAAUUAGACAAAAAAGAUAAUAAUAAUAAUAAUAAUAAUAUGUAUUAUUUCUGCUUUGACAUUUCUCUAAUUUUAAACAACAUCGAUUCAGGAAGGAAGGUAGCGAAGAAGGGUAUUGAAGUUUGCCGUCCCCUUUUACACACAGACACGACCUUUGUAGCCGACUUAAAUAAAAACAUGACGUUGUUGUUAUUAGUUCGCUUUUUUAAACAAUCGCAGUUAUUCAAGUUUGGUUAAAAGUAGUAAUGAAUAAAUUAAAUGAAGAUAUAUAAAAAUUAAUUCUAAACAGAAAUUUACUGCAUUCCUUCAAUCUGCAUGACUCAUCUAUCGUAUCCAGCUGAAAUUCGCGACUUUAAAAAAAAUAAUAUUUAUAUAAUGUAUCUUCACAUAGUUUCCAUAACCUCCAUGAAUUUAUAAUUAUCAACUAUAUUAAUUGUACAAAUUGUGUCACGAUUUAUUUACUAAUUUUAAUAAGUUUAAAUUCCCAUUUUUAUUGUUAGAUUUUUAUUUCCCAUAUUUUCUUUUCCGUUUAUUUAUUAUUUUUUUCCCCCAUUCUUUUCAGAUGAAAAUAAUUUAACUUAAUUACAACAAAGAGAAAAUGAGAGCAAAAUGAGAAAGAAUGUUAAUAAUAUUUCAUUUAAAUGGGAACUUUGAACGUUUAACGGAGGUUAAUAAAAUAAAAGUGUUCGAAAGGAGAAUGACACAAAAAUUAUUGAUUGUUAUUAAAAAGAAGGAAAAAGUAGGUAAGAAGUACGAUAAAAAGAAAAAACAUUGAAAAACCAGGAAGAGAGAGAAAUAUAGAAUGAGGGAGAAUACACGAGAAAGAAAGGGUCAGACUGAUAGUGAGGUAAAAAGAGAAAGAAAGAAAGAUAAACGCGAAGGUGAGUAAGAGUAAGAGGAUGGAAAGAAUAAGAGAGUAGAAAAUAGAAAGAGGAAGAGGAAGAGUGUAGAAAAAUAAGGAAGAGAAAGAUAGGAUAGAGGUGGGAGGAGAGAAAGAAUAGAAGAAUAAAGGAGUGAAAAAGAGAGGGUAACAAAAAUGAGACCGAGUAAGGUGGCAGGAGGAGCAAUAGAGUAGGAGAGAUAAUCGGGUAAGAAAGAGAAAGAGUGGCGAAAUAAACGGAGUGAGGCAGCGGUAGGAGCAAUAAAGUAUGAGAAAAAGAAAAGGUAUAAAAAAAAUGGAGGCCGAGUGAGGUAGCAGGAGGAGUAAAAUAGUAUGAAGAAUAAGGGGGGAGAGCAAAAUUGUAGUGAGUAAGGGAGUAGGAGGAGAAAUAACCGGGUGAGAAAGAGAAAGGGUAGAAAAAUCGACAGAGUGGGACAGCGAAAGGAGUAAUAGAGUAAGAGAAAUAAGGGGAUGAGAAAGGGGAAAGGUAGCAAAGUUGAGAGUAAGUGAAGUAGCAGGAGGCGAAUAAGAGAAAAAGAGAAAGGGUGGCAAAAUUGAGUAAAGGGGCGAGAGCAAUAGAGUAAGAGGAAUAAAGGGUGAGAAAAAAGAAAAAAAGUAAAAAAUAUAAAAGUAGAACAAAAAAAACCCCGGCCAGACCGAGGGAAGUAUAGGAGAGAAGGAGAGAGGAGGAGUAAAGAAGAAGAAAGAAGAAGAAGGAGGAGGAGGGUGUGUAAUUGUUAGACAGGUGCUCAUCCAUUGAAGAUCGCGUAGAAAACCGAGAGCAAUGGCGGUAGUUGUUAGCUGGUAGCAGUGGAAGGUUGUUUGUUGUUAUUAUUAUUUUUAUACUGUAUUAGUAGUAGUAGUGAACUGUUGUUUUUAGUAGGCCAACCAACCAGCCAACUAGCCAGUCUACUAUUGGACACUGUGAAGAUCUUGAAGAACUGUUAUUCUCCAGAUGGAUAUUGGUAAUUGAGCCUUCUGUUUGGUUCCCUAUUGAAUCUAGAGAAUCUCUGCAACUAAGAAACUAAACUAAACUGCAGUGUAUAUAUAUAUAUAUAUAUAUAUAUAUAUAUAUAUAUA